UACGUAGGGUGCAAGCGUUGUCCGGAAUUAUUGGGCGUAAAGAGCUCGUAGGCGGUCUGUCGCGUCUGCUGUGAAAACUCGGGGCUUAACCCCGGGCCUGCAGUGGGUACGGGCAGACUAGAGUGCGGUAGGGGAGACUGGAAUUCCUGGUGUAGCGGUGAAAUGCGCAGAUAUCAGGAGGAACACCGGUGGCGAAGGCGGCGACCUGGUCCUUUUACUGACGCUGAGGCGCGAAAGCGUGGGGAGCAAACAGG
rnacentral:rRNA from 1 species